UACAAGCUGCAUUGACCGUAUUGAUUAUAAAGUUAAACCUUUGAGCUGAAAUAGGGAGUUUAAAAACGAGAUCGGAAUGAUAGGCUCCGGAACUUUUCCGGAGACGUGCAGGAACAUCUCUGAGGACACCCACUUUGUGGAGUGAUGGUUUUUAACUUUCUAAUUUUCCUACGGCAAAGGCGGCUUCUUA
rnacentral:other from 1 species